UAUCAAAAACAUCGCCUCUUGUAAAAUCUAAGAGGUCUAGCCUGCCCAGUGACUUUUGUUCAACGGCCGCGGUAUCCUAACCGUGCGAAGGUAGCGUAAUCACUUGUUCUUUAAAUAAGGACUAGUAUGAAUGGCAUCACGAGGGUUGUACUGUCUCCUUUUUCUAAUCAGUGAAACUAAUCUUCCCGUGAAGAAGCGGGAAUUAUUAUAUAAGACGAGAAGACCCUAUGGAGCUUCAAACAAAUUACAUUUGCUAUUUUUCUACAAUCUUCCGAUAUUUAAAUUUUAUCCUAGCAUUAUGUCUAUUAGUUUUAGGUUGGGGUGACCGCGGAGUAAAAAUUAACCUCCAUAUUGAAAGAUUUAUUUCUAAGCAAAAAGUUACAACUUUAAGCAUCAAUAAAUUGACAUUUAUUGACCCAAUAUUUUGAUCAACGAACCAAGUUACCCUAGGGAUAACAGCGCAAUCCAUUUUAAGAGCUCUUAUCGACAAAUGGGCUUACGACCUCGAUGUUGGAUCAGGGUAUCCCAGUGGUGUAGCCGCUACUAAAGGUUCGUUUGUUCAACGAUUAAAACCCUACGUGAUCUGAG
rnacentral:rRNA from 1 species